rnacentral:rRNA from 1 species
AAGUCGAGCGGAGAUGAGGUGCUUGCACCUUAUCUUAGCGGCGGACGGGUGAGUAAUGCUUAGGAAUCUACCUAUUAGUGGGGGACAACGUUUCGAAAGGAACGCUAAUACCGCAUACGUCCUACGGGAGAAAGCAGGGGACCUUCGGGCCUUGCGCUAAUAGAUGAGCCUAAGUCGGAUUAGCUAGUUGGUGGGGUAAAGGCCUACCAAGGCGACGAUCUGUAGCGGGUCUGAGAGGAUGAUCCGCCACACUGGGACUGAGACACGGCCCAGACUCCUACGGGAGGCAGCAGUGGGGAAUAUUGGACAAUGGGGGGAACCCUGAUCCAGCCAUGCCGCGUGUGUGAAGAAGGCCUUUUGGUUGUAAAGCACUUUAAGCGGGGAGGAGGCUACUUAGAUUAAUACUCUAGGAUAGUGGACGUUACCCGCAGAAUAAGCACCGGCUAACUCUGUGCCAGCAGCCGCGGUAAUACAGAGGGUGCGAGCGUUAAUCGGAUUUACUGGGCGUAAAGCGUGCGUAGGUGGUCUUUUAAGUCGGAUGUGAAAUCCCUGAGCUUAACUUAGGAAUUGCAUUCGAUACUGGGAGACUAGAGUAUGGGAGAGGAUGGUAGAAUUCCAGGUGUAGCGGUGAAAUGCGUAGAGAUCUGGAGGAAUACCGAUGGCGAAGGCAGCCAUCUGGCCUAAUACUGACACUGAGGCACGAAAGCAUGGGGAGCAAACAGGAUUAGAUACCCUGGUAGUCCAUGCCGUAAACGAUGUCUACUAGCCGUUGGGGUCUUUGAGACUUUAGUGGCGCAGCUAACGCGAUAAGUAGACCGCCUGGGGAGUACGGUCGCAAGACUAAAACUCAAAUGAAUUGACGGGGGCCCGCACAAGCGGUGGAGCAUGK